AUUGAACGCUGGCGGCAGGCUUAACACAUGCAAGUCGAGUGGGCGAGGUUGCUUCGGUAACUUAGCUAGCGGCGGACGGGUGAGUAAUGCUUAGGAAUCUGCCUAUUAGUGGGGGACAACAUUCCGAAAGGGAUGCUAAUACCGCAUACGUCCUACGGGAGAAAGCAGGGGCUCUUUAUGACCUUGCGCUAAUAGAUGAGCCUAAGUCAGAUUAGCUAGUUGGUGGGGUAAAGGCCUACCAAGGCGACGAUCUGUAGCGGGUCUGAGAGGAUGAUCCGCAACACGGGGACUGAGACACGGCCCAGACUCCUACGGGAGGCAGCAGUGGGGAAUAUUGGACAAUGGGGGGAACCCUGAUCCAGCCAUGCCGCGUGUGUGAAGAAGGCCUUUUGGUUGUAAAGCACUUUAAGUGGGGAGGAGGCUUACCUGGUUAAUACCUGAGCUAAGUGGACGUUACCCACAGAAUAAGCACCGGCUAACUCUGUGCCAGCCGCCGCAGUAACAC
rnacentral:rRNA from 1 species